CCUACGGUGAGCAGCAGUCGAGAAUCAUUCACAAUGGGGGAGAUCCUGAACCAGCCAAGCCGCGUGAGGGAAGACGGCCCUAUGGGUUGUAAACCUCUUUUGUCGGAGAACAAAACCCGGGACGUGUCCCGGACUGCGUGUAUCCGAAGAAAAAGCAUCGGCUAACUCCGUGCCAGCAGCCGCGGUAAUACGGAGGAUGCGAGCGUUAUCCGGAUUUAUUGGGUUAAAAGGGUGCGUAGGCGGUCCGUUAAGUCAGCGGUAAAAUUGCGGGGCUCAACCCCGUCGAGCCGUUGAAACUGGCAGACUUGAGUUGGCGAGAAGUACGCGGAAUGCGCGGUGUAGCGGUGAAAUGCAUAGAUAUCGCGCAGAACUCCGAUUGCGAAGGCAGCGUACCGGCGCCAGACUGACGCUGAGGCACGAAAGCGUGGGGAUCGAACAGGAUUAGAUACCCGGGUAGUC
rnacentral:rRNA from 1 species